rnacentral:lncRNA from 1 species
GUUUGAACCAGCAGGAGACUGCAAAGGACAAGACUACAACUUACUGAUGUGUUCAGAGGGCUGCAAUCUUACGAAUUCUGUUUCCUGCUGACAUGAAGAAUGGGACAGAAGAGAAGAGCAGAGUAGCAGUACAAUAUGCCAUGACGGUAUCAAACCUCUGUGCCCUGGAUGGUUUGUUUGAUCACCUUUUUAAGGAGCUGUAACUUUAACAUUAUUGUGACCCUUUUUCUAGAGCAAGAAGAAACAGACUGGAUUCACAUGAACUUCUGCAACAUGCAAGCUUGAGUGCUGCUGACCCACUGGAAUGGGCCAUGAAGACAAACAGCACUGAGGCACUGUGUGCUUCACUGUAUUUCUCACUUGUAUAACUCUUGCCAACUCUUUUGUCUCAUAUCUGUCGCAAUCUUAGGGCCCAGCCUCGCACAGAAGGUAUAAACAGUUCUCUCUAUAAUCUUCAGGAGCAGUAAACAGUACCUGCAGAACAGGGAAUUUUCACCCAAUGCAAGAAUGCUUCUUUAGAGCCACCAAGCUUGUGUGUCAGAGGAGGAAUAAGAUCAAGUUUAUCAGCUCAAUAUCUUAUCAUCCUGUUAAUAACUAUUUUCAAG